UGGGGAAUAUUGCACAAUGGGGGAAACCCUGAUGCAGCGACGCCGCGUGUAGGAAGACGGUCCUCUGGAUUGUAAACUACUGUCUUCGGGGACGAUAAUGACGGUACCCGAGGAGGAAGCUCCGGCUAACUCCGUGCCAGCAGCCGCGGUAAUACGGAGGAUCCGAGCGUUAUCCGGAUUUACUGGGUGUAAAGGGAGCGUAGACGGUACUGCAAGUCUGGAGUGAAAUGCGGGGGCUCAACCCCCGAACUGCUUUGGAAACUGUGAUACUGGAGUGCAGGAGAGGUAAGCGGAAUUCCUAGUGUAGCGGUGAAAUGCUUAGAUAUCACGAAGAACUCCGAUUGCGUAGGCAGCUUACUAAACUAUAACUGACACUGAGGCACGAAAGUGUGGGUAUCAAACA
rnacentral:rRNA from 1 species